AUGGCGGAACUGAGACAAGUAGCGGGUGAAAUGGCAUAGAUACGUCUCAGAACUCCGAUUUGCGAAGGCAGCUGUCUAAGCAUUAUCGACGCUGAUGCACGAAAAGCGUGGGGAUCGAACAGGGAUUAGAUACCCUGGUAGUCCACGCCCUAAACGAUGAUAACUUGAUGUUGGCGAUACACAGUCAGCGUCUUAGCGAAAGCGUUAGUUAUCCACCUGGGGAGUACGCCCGCAAGGGUGAAACUCAAAGGAAUUCACGGGGGCCCGCACAAGCGGAGGAGCAUGUGGUUUAAUUCGAUGAUACGCGAGGAACCUUCCCCGGGCUUGAAAGUUAUGAAUUAUUUAGAGAUAGAUAAGUCCUUCGGGACAGGAAACUAGGUGGUGCAUGGCUGUCGUCAGCUCGUACCGUGAGGUGUAGGGUUAAGUCCCGCAACGAGCGCAACCCCUAUGUUUAGUUGCCACAUGUAAUGAUGGGGACUCUAACCAGACUCCCAGCGUAAGCUGUGAGGAAGGUGGGGACGACGUCAAGUCAUCAUGGCCCUUACGUCCGGGGCUACACACGUGCUACAAUGGAUGGUACAGCGGGCAGCUACCUGGUAACAGGAUGCUAAUCUCGAAAACCAUUCACAGUUCGGAUUGAGGUCUGCAACUGGACCUCAAGAAGUUGGAUUCGCUAGUAAUCGCGUAUCAGCAAUGACGCGGUGAAUACGUUCCCGGGCCUUGUACACCCCGCCCGUCAAGCCAUGA
rnacentral:rRNA from 1 species